UACUCUGAAGUUGGCUGAAUGAGGAACUCGCUUGGUAAUGGAAAGUACGUCUGGCAAACAGAUUCUGAGAUGGGAAUGAGGCGCCCUGUGCUGCACAACAGAGUGUGACCUCUACGCAGGAAGGGACAACAUUCGACGUUUGCACUGUUGUGCUGGAGGCGCUGGCUGAGGGCUUGGCCCUCAGCUGACCCGCAGUAAAAAUCUGUGUGGACGGAGCCUCUGGAGACAGAUGGAGCAAAGGAUACCAAAGCUGUGCUUGGGGGCGCACAUCUGGGCACGAUCCUGGCCUGAGAGAGGAAACAGAUAAUGUGAUUCUGCACCUUGACAAAAGUCGCACAUGAGGUAGCACUAUUCAAAACUCAAGUGCAUAGAGGCCCGGGCUAAAGACAAGGUCCCCUACCAGACUAUCCUCAAUACAGGGGCAACAGUGCUGAAAGGAACUUCCAGAGAGGGAGAAGAUGAACUGUGGCAGCUCACAAGCAAUCUGUCUUGCUCCCUUUCCUCAGAUGAGUGGCUCCAUUUCUCCAAAAGCAGAGAGAAGAGGAGGAACAAGAAGUUGGAAAGAGCAAGAUCCCUAUUUAAAGGUAGCAGACUCUGCCUCUAAGACCCCACUUGAUGGCUCACAAACUAUAACUUUGGAUGAGCCACCUAAACUUGCUGGACCUUCUGGAUCUGAGUUCCCCUUUGUCAUUCUCUCAAGCAGUAGCCUCUACAAGAUGUGCUACAUAAUCUCCUGGGGAUAGACAAUAUUAUGGCUUCCUCUGUAUUUGUUUUUUGUCUUCAAAACACUACGUUUUAAUAUGUUGAAUAUCCAGAGGAUCAUGAGCACCACAGGUAAUCUUCUUGUGGCAUGGUCAUCUGGCAGGUACACUGGGGAAAGUAUCUGAAUUUAAACAAGGAAAGCCUGAGAAGUCAGAAAAAGGUUUCAGAAAGUAUCAAGAAUACCACUUGAACCAUGAAUUUAUAUUCAUUACUGUUGAUGAAUGGCACCAAAAGUGUAGAGUGUACUUUCAGCUAUUAGCUAAUGAUAGUACUUUACUAUUUGUAUGUGGGAAUGGCAGGUUUUUUUCCAAUAGGAUUUUACAAUCAAAAACCAUUUGAGGUUGUAGGACCCGUGGAUGACACCCAAUAACACCACACCACUGUCAUUCAGUUCAGAGAGACUUCUGCUGGAAAUGGCACACGUCAGAAACAAAAACUGCAACAAAGUGACAUCUUUAAUGACAUAGAACAAUGAGGCAAAUGCCACAGAAACGGGCAGCAGUGUCUCACAAUGUGCUUGUUCCAGGCCAGAGGCCAAAGGCAAAGGAGAAGAGCUGUCAACAGCCACGUUUCUAGAGUUGGGGCCCCAGGGGAGAGAUGCUGAACACAUUCCUGGGCUGCUUAUGGAAUGUCCUUCCUGUUCUGGAGAAACAAAUGGGCCUGUCCAAGACAAGGCUUGUGGGCCUUUGCUCAUUGGUAUGAAGAAAAAGAGAUUGUUUCCCAAUCACCCUUCCCGGAGACUUUCCUCUGCAAAGGGGGAUUUGUUUUGCCUGUAGCUUUUCCCUACUGAUCUCUUUGGCAGUAAUGUGACACUAACUAUCCUCAUACCGGCUCCUGAGUUGCUUAUUCCCACCCCAGAGUCUUUCCACUUCCCUCCAUCACUAGGCCCUUCCACAAGGCACUCUUCCCUAGAGGACCACAAUGGGAAUCCUGCACCUGUUGUGAGAGUGACUGCAGUCACUGCAGAAGCCAUUAUUAGGGGGAAAGAUCCCUAACCUCUGGUGUAUUCCACCAGCCUCAGUGGAUGGCCUUGGGCUUAGCAAAGAGUCAUCACUGUCUGCUGGAGUUUGGACAGGAGCCCAGCAAAUGCCUGGGAGCCUGGGAGAGCUCUGAGCUGCCUGUGCUUGGAGGUGCAGGUGGUAGUCUGCAUCUUCCUUCCUCUGGCCCCCAGGCUCUGCAUUACCCUGCCAGCAGACACCGUGUGCGGGCAGCAGGCUGGCAAUCUUGGACUUGAGGAUGUGGGAGCAGGUGGGAAAGACAUGUGCCAAAGCCCUGAGGAUGGAGACAUGAGCUGGGCUACUGAGAAUGGAGCCCCAGGGCCAGAUGGAUUAGGAGUGAAUACCUGACAGUGCACAAUUCCAUCUAGAGCAGACUUAAUUUGCAAACUCUCAUUUCGCAUGGCACGGCAGAUAACUACCCAGAGCUGUUUUGCUCUGGAGAAGUCAGGACUUUUGAAAAGCCAUCAGGUUUACCAGGGCAAAAGAGCCUCCAAAAUGCAAGGGCUGAGUUAAGAGUCACAAAAGCAAACUUUGGAUGACACAGGCUGCCUUGGUGGCCUUACCCUAACCAUGUGAUUUUGGAGGUAGAAUCCUCCAAAGCUCUGGAGCCAGCAUGGAGCCACCAUGGGACUCAAGAGGGUGCUCCUUGUAAACCAUGCUGGACUCCGAAAUGCCCUUCUGGGACUCUCAUUUUGUAGGUUCUAAAUAAGAAGAUGUCAUGGCAAGAUAGAUUUCUUCAUGUUUUUAGAAUCAAAUUCUUGGAUGAAACCCUCCUUCCAUAGGUUGCUUAAACAAUCCAUUCGGUAUAACGCAUGACCAAGGGAAAGUUUUAAAACACUGGGUAAUAAUCCAGAAAUCAAAGUGGUAGACCCCAAAACAAAAGAGAAAGAGGAAGAAAUGA